AACGAACGCUGGCGGCAUGCUUAACACAUGCAAGUCGAACGAGACCUUCGGGUCUAGUGGCGCACGGGUGCGUAACGCGUGGGAAUCUGCCCUUAGGUACGGAAUAACUCAGAGAAAUUUGUGCUAAUACCGUAUGAUGUCGAAAGACCAAAGAUUUAUCGCCUAAGGAUGAGCCCGCGUAAGAUUAGCUUGUUGGUGAGGUAAAAGCUCACCAAGGCGACGAUCUUUAGCUGGUCUGAGAGGGUGAUCAGCCACACUGGGACUGAGAAACGGCCCAGACUCCUACGGGAGGCAGCAGUGGGGAAUAUUGGACAAUGGGCGAAAGCCUGAUCCAGCAAUGCCGCGUGAGUGAUGAAGGCCUUAGGGUUGUAAAGCUCUUUUACCAGGGAUGAUAAUGACAGUACCUGGAGAAUAAGCUCCGGCUAACUCCGUGCCAGCAGCCGCCGUAA
rnacentral:rRNA from 1 species